GCCAUUAUAAUAAUGGAGCUAUAUCUAACAUAAAAAUUAAGACAAUUUGGUGUGUCUCUACUAACGAUCACUCAGGAUCAAAGAAGUUUGAAAACUCAAAAACUCUAAAAACUCAAAAUCACAAUAUUUAAAUACAAGCCUUACCCUUUUUCUUUUCUUUCUUUAUUUUUUUUAAUUUUUUUUUAAUAGAGAAAAUUGUUAAUUGUAUUCAUAAAUUAGGCACAAAGACCAUUAGUUACAAGGACAAAUACAAAUGCCCACAAAUGGGUAAUACAAAUAUAAAAGCAUAAUAACCGCAUAGGGUUAAUACAUAUAUAGGCCACAAAAGACCGGUGAAAUUUUGGCAUAAAAGCCGCAUACCUGAACAAACCAUACAUGAAUCGCAGCGCCCAAAUCUACCAAUACAACUACAACUUUUAACACUCAUAAGUACAAAAUACAAACAGAGACUAGAAAACAAUCAGACACCCAACUCACAAGGAGUUGAUGCAAUUAUUACAAAAAGAAAACUGUAAACAUGCAACCAAAACCAACAAAAUCACUUCCGCUGUUGUUGCCGCCACCACCACAGCCAUCACCACCACCUUGGAGUUAGAGAACACCAUUGAGAUUUAAGGCCUUCACCCUACAAUAAAACAUCAACCAACAAAAUCACAUAUCCACAAA
rnacentral:lncRNA from 1 species